CGCGUGUAUCUCACUUUAAUGAAUUCAAAUGUUAUGUUACACUAAAUAGGAUAUUUAUUUAAAUUGAUAAAGAUGCGUAUAAUAAUUAAAAUCAACAUCUUUUGAAUAUGUAAAGAUGGAGAAUUUAUUUAAUUAAACCUAACCUUUACCAAAAAAAUUUCUCAAAGUCGAUUGACAUUCAUCUAACAUCUGUAAACUAUAACAAAACAAU
rnacentral:lncRNA from 1 species